UGAAGCUAAUGAAUUUCAAAAUCUUCCCACUUAUAUUGCUAUAUAUAUGUAUAUAAACUUAUAAAAACUUCAGAAUCACCCUAAUAUUCAUAUUUAUAAUGUGUUUUGCGCAUAUUCUGGUGAUAAAUUUGUUUUCCAUUAUACUUUUAUAGUUAUCAGUGAACGUGUGAAUUGGAGCAAAAGAAGUGAUUUUCUAUGAGUGCUCCAACUUUUGAAUUCUGUGACUAAGUGAAUUUACUUGAGCAAAAAUUUCUUCGAAAGCAAAUUGCUAGUAAUGUGUACAAAAUAUUACGGCACUUAGUUUUUAAUAAAGAGAAGAUUUGUUAAUACGCAUAAUAUGCAUACUUGCUUGUAUAUAGUUACUAUGGGUGCAAAUGGUUCUAAAAUUCUCGCUUAUGAUGCCUCUCUUACAACGCGUUACAGAUAUUAUUAAACAGAAAAGACCUAUUAAAUCAUAGCCUGUCUUGUUGCGGCCGUCGAAUUUCAUGUCAGUAUAAAUCGUUUAUUAUUAUUAUAGAGGUUGCAGUCUUCACACAAUGUCCAUUAUGAACACAAGUUUUAUGCGAUGAUCCAAGCAGAAGUACUUUUUUGACAGACCAAGCGUCAGUUAUGUCAAGCUGUCAUGUUAUUUUUGUUCGGUAUGGUUUGGCAACUUUUUACGAUUCACGUUCUGUUAAGAAUGUGUCACGCAUUUCGUUCAACUUAUGGUCAGUCAACAUAAUUGACCUACUAAGCCUACUAUUCAGAACACCAUCACCCAUCUUGAGACCCCGCAUUAAUUAUUGGAUAAUAUUCGACCGAAUCGACCACGUCCAGCACGUAGUGAAGAAAAUAUAGCGACUCUAGCUGAGAGUGUGUCGAAGACCAUGGAGAGACUAUUCGGCGCCGUUCACAGCAACUCGGACUGACAUAUGGAAUGAUUUGUCACAUUUUACGUUAAAAUCUUAAAUUGAAAACGCACAAAUUAUAGCUUGCGCAUUGUGGAUUCGCGGGUGAACUAUCUGAGACGUUUGAAAGAGAUAAUCUUCAAAAAAUAAAUGAAAAAGAAUUUUCUUUCGAAUGA